CAAAUACUCCCUUCGUCCCAAAAUUCGUGUCUUAGAUUUGUCUAGAUACGGAUGUAUCUAUCCGUAUCUAGACAAAUCUAAGACGAGAAUUUUGGGACGGAGAGAGUAUUUA
rnacentral:pre_miRNA from 1 species